rnacentral:rRNA from 1 species
UGGGGAAUAUUGCACAAUGGGCGAAAGCCUGAUGCAGCCAUGCCGCGUGUGUGAAGAAGGCCUUCGGGUUGUAAAGCACUUUCAGUCAGGAGGAAAGGGUGUGAGUUAAUACCUCAUAUCUGUGACGUUACUGACAGAAGAAGCACCGGCUAACUCCGUGCCAGCAGCCGCGGUAAUACGGAGGGUGCGAGCGUUAAUCGGAAUUACUGGGCGUAAAGCGUACGCAGGCGGUUUGUUAAGCGAGAUGUGAAAGCCCCGGGCUCAACCUGGGAACUGCAUUUCGAACUGGCAAACUAGAGUGUGAUAGAGGGUGGUAGAAUUUCAGGUGUAGCGGUGAAAUGCGUAGAGAUCUGAAGGAAUACCGAUGGCGAAGGCAGCCACCUGGGUCAACACUGACGCUCAUGUACGAAAGCGUGGGGAGCAAACGGGAUUAGAUACCCCGGUAGUCCACGCCGUAAACGAUGUCUACUAGAAGCUCGGAACCUCGGUUCUGUUUUUCAAAGCUAACGCA